GGAUAGCCUCUCUCUCAUUGGUUAGGGGGCUUGGAAAAAAGAGACUCGGCGAGCCCUCGCUGUGGUGUGCUGCCGCCGCCGCCGCCGCCGCUGCUGGAGUUGACUCUUCUGCUCGCACUGCUGCUGCAGCACAAACGCGAAUCGGGCUUUGGGGGAAGAGGAAGAAAAGUCGGAUUACAAGAUCAACCACCACCAACAACAAUAAAAACCACCAGGAUAUUUUUUUGCAAAUUUCUGACGGCUUUAAAUUCAUGAAGCAAUUGUCCCCUUUUGCAAUCAGCAUUUGGAUCUCAGAAUGAGCAAGGAAAGACCCAAGAGGAAUAUCAUUCAGAAGAAAUACAAAUGGAAGAGAGAAAAAAGAAAUGGAAAGGACAUCCACUCCAAACAGCGAGGGACCCUGGCGCCGUCAGUAAUAGGAAAAUGUCUAAUAAUGUCUGCUAAUGUAGUUUAAAAAAAAAACGUUUUGUGUUUAUAAUUGAGCGCGCACAAGUUGGGGAGGGGCAGAGAAGGGGGGACAGAGGGUCUGAAUUGGGCUGUGUUCUGACGGGCUGACAGCCUAGAGCCCCCGAGAUCGUGACAGCCUGAGCCGAAGUAAGAUAUUUAACUGACUGAGCCACCCAGACCAUAUAUAUAUGUCUCUGUGUAUAUAAUAUAUAUAUUUACCAUGUAUUAUAAAUUAUAUAUGUAACAUAUAAUAUAUAUAAGGUAUAGCUAAUAUACAUUUAACUUAAAGUCUAGUUAGUUAACCUACAGUGGAGCCUUGGCUUCAGGGGUAGAACCCAGUGAUCCAUCUCUUACAAAUGACACCCAGUGCUCAUGCCAGAAAGUGCCCUCCUUAAUGCCGUUUAACGCAUCCCCCCACCCAUCUCCCCUCCAGCCACCCUCAGUUCGUUUUACAUGUUUAAGCAUCUUGCAUGGUUUUCUUUCUUAAUUAAAACAAUUUUUUUAAACGUCUAUUUAAUUUUGAGAGGGAGCACAGGAAGGGGCCGAUCAAGGAGACAAAGAAUUAGAAGAGGGUUCCAGGCUCAAACCAGGUGAUCACGACCUGAGCUGAAGCCCGACGCCCAACCGACUGAGCCCCCCAGGCGCCGCCCCCAGAGUUGCCCACGGUUUACCCAUUCUCCGUUUUAAUUGCUGUGAAGGCCCCGCUCUGUUGCAUCUUUGUGCCUGGCGGUGCAUAGACACUGCCACUUCUCGUGUUUUCCUGGUAUGA
rnacentral:lncRNA from 1 species